rnacentral:rRNA from 1 species
AUUGAACGCUGGCGGCAGGCUUAACACAUGCAAGUCGAACGAGUGGCGGACGGGUGAGUAAUGUUUGGGAAUCUAGCUUAUGGAGGGGGAUAACUACGGGAAACUGUAGCUAAUACCGCAUACUAUCGGAUGAACCCCUAUGGGAUUAGCUAGUAGGUGGGGUAAAGGCUCACCUAGGCGACGAUCUCUAGCUGGUCUGAGAGGAUGAUCGGCCACACUGGAAGUGAGAAACGGCCCAGACGCCAACGGGAGGCAGCAGUGGGGAAUAUUGGACGAUGGGCGCAAGACUGAUGCAGACAUGCCGCGAGUAUGAAGAAGGCCUGAGGGUUGUAAAGUACUGUCAGCGGGGAUGCGUUACCCGCAGAAGAAGCACCGGCUAACUCCGUGCCAGCAGCCGCGGUAAUAC